rnacentral:lncRNA from 1 species
CAUAAAUGGGCCACAAGCACAGUGCAGGCUUUCUAUGGUGCUGUACAGACCCCACCCACCACAUAUUUUUACUCGCGCAUCCAUUAUAGUGGGGUAAAAGUGGUUUGCUGAUACUGUCUGAUAUGGUGAUUUGAGAGUAUAGGUUUUGGUUGCAUCUUGGUCUGUAUCCAUCACAAGGGGUUCACCUCUGAGAACAAAUGUCUCUUCUUUGCAGGACAUACAUUUUAUAUCCACCCAGUCCUUGCUACCCAUCUGGUAGAGCAUAAGGACCUUGGAAGAACCCUGCCAAAAUGCUGCCUAUAUAGGCACAUAUCAUAAUCUUCCUCACAUGGGUUUCACUUUGUGCCAACUUCCAUACGCCUGAUCAGUGUUACGAUGGACUUUUCAGGUCAGUGGGUACUCGUGCUAACACUAUUGUCCCCCAGUAUUUCAGCCAUUGACGUACGUCUGACUCCGAUUGUGAUAUGAUUUAGAAAAGGUAAGGGUGGUUUUGUUAUUCAAUAAUUUAGAGUAAUUACUUUUUUUAUUAAAAUCAAAUCAUCUUAUUAUUUUUUAAAAAAAAAAAUUGGUAUUGACUAUACAUGAUUAUAACCGGGUUAAUCGAAUUUCAAAUUAAUAUGUCAAAUUAACUAGAUUUAACCGAGUAAAUAUCUUGUUUUUUUGUUCAUCGGAAUAAGCUAGUUGGAAGAAGUCAAGUUUAUUAUCUAUAAUUUCACCAGGUUUUAUACUAUCCCUCUGGUGGAGUAGUCACAUGUAUACAGUUAUAAACUUUGUUGAUGCAUGGUGAAUUGUACUUUUUUAUCAUUAUCUUUCCCGUUUUCAGAAUUUUUGGUUUAUAGCUUUUGUAUCAUUUCGAAAUUAUCAUUUCGAAUUCGAGGUCCUACAUUGGUUAAACUCUAGUUACGACUACAAUAUUUCUUCAUCGGAUCGAUGCUUCAAGGCGCCGUUGGACCACAGCUGCUGGCAUCAUUCUUCUCUUUUCUUGAAUCAAUAUUUAGCUGUGGACAAAACUAAAUAAUCAUGGAGGUAGGUAACUAAAUAUCUGCGUAUAAAUGAUAUACUGUCAUAGCUAGCUUCUCCGUCGUGUUUCAUUUCCAUGCUAGUCUACGAGUACUCAAACUUUUUAACCUGCAAUGACCACACCCUUAUCUUCCUGGUGUUUUGAACCGAAAGCAAUGGUUUCAACUUUGAAGUGUAGAUGGGUGCGAUAACUUUAGGCUUUAGCAGUCUAGCGACUAGUUAGCUAAUUUUGGGGACCAGAUCUACAUUGGUAGAUUAAGCUAGCAUUAAUAUUGCAGUAAUUCAUAUUGUAGCUAAGCUAGGUAGGGAAAGAAAUUUCUAUGCGGCCUCUAAUUUUAAAAGGAUAAAUUCUGAAAAACUUCUGUGGUAAUAUAGACAUAGACAUGAUAUGUUGGGUUGAAGAAGCCUGUGCUGAAGAAGCAAGAGGAUAGUUGCCCCACAUGAAUGGCAAAGGGGGUGAUUGUUGGGUUGUUGCCAUUGCAUGUGCAGCAAAUGGACAGCACCAACCAUUGACUAUUGGCAGCCACCAUUGUUGAAGAAGAAGAGGAGUUGGCAGCCACCUUCGUUGAAGAAGAGCUGGAGUUGGCAGCCACCUUUGUUGACAAAAGAACAAGUGGAGCAGCACCAUUGUUGCCUAUAAAAGGGCACCGUGAGAGAGCAAAAUGCAAGAGAGAUGAGAGUGGUGAGAAUGUGAAGAGUAUAGAGAGAAAGUGGAGAGCUGCAAUGGCAGCAGCCUUGCUGCCAUUGCAGCAGCUGCAAGUGCAGCAAGAGAGCUGGGAGUUGAGUUUGAGUGAAGUGAUCCUCCUCCUCCAUGUAUUGUGUUGUAAUCCUUUCUCUAUCUCUAAAUAAUAUGGACUCUCUCCCGUGGAUGUAGGCGGUUUUGCCGAACCACGUAAAAUAUUGUGUCAGUGUGCUUUAUCCCUCCUAUGAGAAAAUAUCAGUACACCCCCGGUCCGCGCAUGGGGGAGCCGGAAUCCCCAACAUGAUAUACAUGUGACAUCAUAAAAGUUUAGAUAUAUGUGGCCUUAAAAUGUUCGAUCCAUGAUUUCUUCAUGAAAUUAACAUAAAAUUUGGUAGCCUUAUGAAAUUAGAUUUUCUUGGUGGUGAUGGUGGCAUUUCUACCGUAAAAUAGUUUUAACUCAAGCUCGUUUGUUUUAUUAAAAGUAAUUUGUAAAAUAUAAGUUUUUAAAUUUUUCUGUAUUUGUUUAACAUUAAAGAAUUAAUCAAUAAAAAACAUUUUCUAGUGAAAGAAAAAAUUGACUUGAUUUCUAGAAAAAAUUGACUUGAUUUCUAGAAAAAUAUUUUUAUUUUAUAUCGAGUGAAAAACACUUUCUAGAAGUUGAGAAAAAUUCAAAAAUAUCUUGUUAUUUGUUGAUUAUAUCAAAUUUAAUCCUUAAUUUUUUAUUACAAUAUUUGUUUUUUGAUUUUUUUUUAAUUUCAUCCCUUAAUCAGAAUUUGAUUUAAUUUUAUUUUUAUAUUAACUUUAGUCCUUAUUUUUUUAUUGUUAUUUGGUUUUCUCUUAUCUUUUUCUUAAUUGAAUUUUGUUAUCUAUCAAAUCUUUAUUUUUUUUGUUAUUUAUUUUAUUUAAAAUAAUUUAUAAAAUUAAAUUUUUUUUUCAAUUUCAUCAUCCUUUAACUAUUUUAUCUAUCAGAUUUGGUUUCUAUUCUUUUAAUAAACAUAAAAAAAUAAAUUAAAACAUCAAUAAUUUUUAACUUAUUUUUUUUAUGAUAUAGUCAAAUACUAUGAAGUUUUUUCCAAUUUAUUUUCUAUAGCACUACCAAACAUCAAGAAAUAAUUUACUUUACAAGAAUAAAUUUUUUAUAAAAAUCAUUUUUUAAAAAUAAACUAUUUUUCACCAGCAAACAAACUCAUACGUAGAGUCAUGAAACCCUAAAAUAUCACCAUGUAUUAUAAUGAUCAGAAUGAUCGGCACCUCUCUAGCUAGCACUAGAGAAUUUUCAAUGUCACAUGGAUCCGAUCCAAUUAGGAGCGUCUCACCUAAAAGGAGAAGGACAAUUCACCCAGUGCCAAGGACACACUAUUACCCUACCGCUCUAUGUCCUACUCCUAAUUUGUUUGGAGCGGCUUUCAUAGCUUCUAGUCAGGUGUGCAUUAGAAGUAGGACAUGGGCUGUCUCGGCUACCUGAGAUUUGUUUGGUUGCCAACAAGACUUUCGAUCUUUGAAGGUGACUUGUUAUCGAAAAGCUUUUUCAUGGAUGUAUAAUAUCAGUAAUUUGUUUGGGGGCACAAGCUGCCAUUGACAUUUUUUCAGUUCGUGUUCUCUAUAAUCCAAAUGAUUUGUGGGUUUGAGAAAUUUGUAGUGGGUUAGCAAGUGCAGCUGACUUCAACUAAUAGAUGGACACUGCUUGUAUUGAUUUUUCUAAGAAAACUUGACCGAAUUCAUAUAUAUGGAUAAACAUUGCUUGUUUUGAACCCAAAACGUUAAACUAUUAGAUUAUGUAGGCACCUCGCUCUCUCCACUCAUAUCCUAUAUGAAAUAUUCUAGCUCUCGUAUCUAACUACCGCACUUGAAAAAUUGUUACGCACGUAGAUCCAAUCAGAUGAUCGGUAUUAUGAUGAGCGGAACCCGCAAGAAUUAGCAUAGGUGGGAGGCUUGAGGAGGAUAGAUUUGUGAAUCUCAAACCCUUGUCAUUGAUUUCAGGUUUUCUCAUGCCUUGAGAUUAAUUAGUACUAUUAACAAUGUGCAAAUCUGAGUCACCUCGGAGAUCGAAUAUCACAUAAAUGCCAGACCCCAUUCUGCCGUCAUACAAGCACUGGAGGGGCAUUCAUUUCCUUCCAUAAAAGGCGAUAAUUGGCGCUUUGAUGGACUUCAUCUUGGGUGUAUAUGCGUGGUCCUGUUGGGUUUGCAAUUUCCGCAGAGAGAACUCGGUCCAUGCACUUUGGUUGGUUGGAGAGCAUGCACAUCUCUUUUUGUUACUGUUUGCCGUUCCUUCUUCUCUCUAUUGCCUGGUUUAGCCAAAGCAAACCCUCUUUGCCUUUUGAUCUUGUUGCUUCAUCUUUAACAAGAUAUAUUUUCUUCCAUGCCGCAUGAGGUCUGUACGUGCAAAGAUGAACAAAGAAUUUUAGAGUGAAAAUAAAGCAUCCAGUCAAAUAAGAUUUUUUUAUAUAUAUCACCAUGGCGUGACAAUAUUGCCUGGGUUAACUUUUAACUCGUAAAUGUAAUUAAAUAAUAGGUAAAAAAAAUUAAACCAUGCAUGGAACUAAUAAUCCCAUGUUGUUACAUAAGUCAUUUGUAGAUCAAAAUUUUAAGUGCCUGGGUGAUAUCCAACCAGCUGCUCCAAAAUAAUUUACCUCUUUCAAAAUGAAGAUGAUCGAUCGAUGCAAUCAGU